rnacentral:rRNA from 1 species
GAUGAACGCUGGCGGCGUGCCUAAUACAUGCAAGUCGAGCGAACAGACGAGGAGCUUGCUCCUCUGACGUUAGCGGCGGACGGGUGAGUAACACGUGGAUAACCUACCUAUAAGACUGGGAUAACUUCGGGAAACCGGAGCUAAUACCGGAUAAUAUAUUGAACCGCAUGGUUCAAUAGUGAAAUACGGUUUUGCUUUCACUUAUAGAUGGAUCCGCGCCGCAUUAGCUAGUUGGUAAGGUAACGGCUUACCAAGGCGACGAUGCGUAGCCGACCUGAGAGGGUGAUCGGCCACACUGGAACUGAGACACGGUCCAGACUCCUACGGGAGGCAGCAGUAGGGAAUCUUCCGCAAUGGGCGAAAGCCUGACGGAGCAACGCCGCGUGAGUGAUGAAGGUCUUCGGAUCGUAAAACUCUGUUAUUAGGGAAGAACAAAUGUGUAAGUACCUAUGCACGUCUUGACGGUACCUAAUCAGAAAGCCACGGCUAACUACGUG